GGGGUUGACUGGAUUUGACGGCAAGAUGAGAUGGUGCGUAAGCAUGCGGAGCGACGGCUGUAGGCUCCAUAAUCCAUUCGGUCGGAAAAUUAAUUGGCAACAACGAGUAUGCUCUCGCUGCUUAAUCGAAGUAUAGUAGAUUACGAGCUUAAUUCGCUUACAAGGUAGGCGAACGAGACGUCGCUCCAAGGGUGUGGUUCCGAACCCGAGGGUCAAGCGGCGCAGAUCUUUCGGAAAUAGUCGGCGGGAGGCCCCGCAUCGCCGAUGAAGUUUUAGGGGAUAAGGCGUCGGCCCAGUGGUCCAGGUCUUGUCGGCGCACGAAAAUCUAGUCUGGAAUAAGCAUGUAGAAAGCGCAUGGUUUCCUUGUGCGGACGAGGGUUCGACUCCCUCCAGCUCCACU
rnacentral:tmRNA from 1 species